rnacentral:rRNA from 1 species
AAUCCUUCCGUUAGGGAACCUGCGGAAGGUAUCAUUAAUGAUUGGCCUAACGGCCUUAUCAACAUAAUCCCUCACCUCUGUGAACCGUUGACCUCCGGGUCUACAUAACAAACAUCAGUGUAAAGAACGUCUUUAUAUUUUAACAAAAUAAAACUUUCAACAACGGAUCUCUUGGCUCUCGCAUCGAUGAAGAACGCAGCGAAAUGCGAUAAGUAAUGUGAAUUGCAGAAUUCAGUGAAUCAUCGAAUCUUUGAACGCACCUUGCGCCUUUUGGUAUUCCGAAAGGCAUGCCUGUUUGAGUGUCAUGAAAUCUCAAUCCCCCCGGGUUUUCUGAACCCGAGGUGGACUUGGACAUGGGUGUCUGCCGUCUCGUACGGCUCGCCUUAAAUGACUCAGUGGGAUCUUCAGCAUCCGUGGCAGACGUAAUAAGUUUCGUCUCGUCCCUUGCUGUGAGGACCGCUCAUAACCUGCCAUCGCGCACCACUUUUGACUCUGACCUCAAAUCAGGUAGAGACCUUACCCGCUGAACUUAAGCAUAUCAAAGG